GACAGAGGGUGCAAACGUUGCUCGGAAUUACUGGGCGUAAAGCGCGUGUAGGCGGUCACGCGAGUCAGGUGUGAAAGCCCAGGGCUCAACCCUGGAAGUGCACUUGAUACUACGUGGCUGGAGUCCUGUGAGAGGAGAGCGGAAUUCCCGGUGUAGAGGUGAAAUUCGUAGAUAUCGGGAGGAACACCAGUGGCGAAGGCGGAGCUCUCUGGACAGGUACGUGGACGCUGAGACGCGAAAGCGUGGGUAGCAAACGAGGA
rnacentral:rRNA from 1 species